rnacentral:lncRNA from 1 species
UUGUGUUAUCCUUCCUGCUCUAGCUCAGAUAUAUUUGUUAUACUAAACUACACAGGAAAGAAUGAACUUGUCCUGACAUCUAAUCACAUAGGCUAUGUGAUUAAAGGCACAUUAACACAGAGGAACUCAGAAGUCCCAGGGCAGUCCCAGGAUCAGCUGGGGACAGCUCGAACAGAAAGAACAGAGGACUCUAGAGAUAAUGAAUUGUGCACUGUCACCUGGGAGUUUCAGGUAUCCUUGGCACCUGCUUCUCCAUAUAUCUUCCUUUGGGUUUUACUGUUGGGUAGUAAAGUUGUUGUUUUAGCAUUAAACAGCAUUCAGGGACCCUGAUGAUGAGGUCACUUUCUAUUUUCACAUUCAUCCAUGUUGGUCAGGAUAGGUAGGCAUACUUCUGAAGGGAAAAAAAAAAAAAAAAAGACUGCAUUACAAUAACGUUUUCUCAUCUUUUUUCUAAUUAAAAUUACUUUUUUAAAAAAGUUGUUGAAUAUAAAGAUUGUGUGUUGACUACUGGGAAAGUAAAAGAGUACUUCUUCCCUCAAAUCUCUGAAAAUAAGAAAAUAAAUACAAUUAGGUUCAGAUGUGCA